rnacentral:misc_RNA from 1 species
AUGUGUUUGGACUUCACCGUCCUCAAUUCCGAUGCUGUGCGCUUUCGGGCUGCACGCUGAGGAAAAGCACUUUUCCACACCCUGUGCACUUACACGGUGGUGGGCUUAAUUGCCCGUCGCCGCUUUAUCACACACUUCAUAUCAGUUUUGCAUGUGACAUUUUAUAAAUA